rnacentral:lncRNA from 1 species
CCUGUCUUUUAUCUGGGAAGUAGGGGACACAGGUGACUAACGCAGGUGACAGGCAGGUGAUGCAGGUAACCGGGUAACAUGCACAGGGAGUGUGGGACAGGUGCCAUGGCAACAGACGCAGGAGGGUCGUUGCCUAGGGAUGAAGUCAUCGCUAGGGUCAGAAGCUGGCUGUAAACAGUUUCUGGCCGUCCAUGGAUGGUUCUGAUGCUAACAGGGGGCGGCUUGUUUCCAGUUGAAAACACUUCCGUUCUUUGAAGGGAUAGCCACUGUGUUGUGAGAAGCCAAAGCCUUGAGUUCUGAUUCUAGCCGCAAGCUCAGAAGACAGAACUUGUUAAUAAAGCCCAGCACUUGUGAGAGUGCUGUAACAGAGAGAAACAGAGCGUCCCUCCCAUCCUGUCUACAGAUGACGCCUGGAACACUGUCUGCCGACUUGUGGUUUACCAACCAGUGUGAGCAAUUGAGCCUAAUGGAACGGCAAAGGUCAUCAUAACAAACCAUUACAGUCUUCGACUUGGCUACGCCGGCCACAGAAGAACCUCCAAGAAACCGUCAUCAUUCCUCCAAUGUUAUGGCAUCCAGACGACAGGGAUGCCUCGCAAAUGAGUCAUCCGGGCUCAGAUCCGCAGUAGCUCCGACUCUCAGAAAAAUCCUAAAGAGGGUGAGAGAAGGUGGGCCUGA